rnacentral:lncRNA from 1 species
CCACAUCCAGACUUCGCAACGACGAUGAAUGGAAAAAGAAAUCACAACUAGAUGCCAACGGACAACUAGGAAAAACUCGACGUUUACCAAGACCAACGGAGAGGUAACCAGACAUUAAUGAAUGACUGGAAAGGAUACAACCAUACGUCAGAGGACGUAAUGGGAAAAACUCAACGUCUACCAAGACCAACGGAGAGGUAAAUCCACGUGGGGACAGGUACAACUAGACGUCAUAGGACGAAUAGGAAAAACUCGACGU